rnacentral:lncRNA from 1 species
UGGCUGUAUUUACAUGCCAAAAAUUACUCUGAGUACAGACUUACCUGUGAAGUUGGAAAAGUUUUAUUGCCUAGCAUCCACUAGAUAUAAUAAAGUUGCAUGCAUUUUGUGUUUCAGAAAGAUAAAAUCUCUUUUGGAUUUUGAUGGGCAUUUGUUUUCCUUCAUGCAAAAGGUGUGAAAAUUAACUAAGUUGUGGUACAACUAUGAGAUGCUCCCUCAGGUAAAAAACCGGUUUGUAUUGUUUUGAUUGUCCUUAAUUGACAUGGACAAUAGUUAUCUUCACAACUAUAGGUGAGUUAAAGAGUUUAUCUGAGUCAGUGAGUGGACAGUAUCAAAGUAAUUCAGGUGUUUGUUUAUUUUUACACCUUCUGCAGAAAGGAAAAAAAUGCCCAUCAAAAACUAAGAAAGAGUUUAUCUUUCUUAAAC